ACCAGCUACUGCUAAGUAGCAGGCCUGCUGGGGGAGGGGCAGCCCUGCCCUCCUGCCCUCCUGCCACCUGGGGAGGGAGGGGUCUGUGUGGAGCCCAGCCCCACCAGGUGUUGGGCCCUGUGGAGAGCGCGCGGGUCUCACUCCCGGCCCGGACCGCGGGCCCUGGACGCCGCCCAGAGGCCGCCCCGCGCCGCGCCGCGCACCGUCGUAGUCCGGGAAGCAGAUGCUGAGGUGGGCCUUCUUGAUCUUCUCGGAGAAGACGUCCUUCUUGUUCAGGAAGAGCACGAUGGACGUGGUGGCGAAGUAGCGGUGGUUACAGAUGCUGUUGAACAGCACCAUGUCGUAGGCGCUGAGCGCCGCGAUGAAGAUGAUGCAGGUCACGCCCUCGAAGCAAUGGAUCCACUUCUUGCGCUCCGAGCGCUGCCCGCCCACGUCGAACAUCCUGCGGGGCAACAGCGCCGGCGGCGGCGGGAGCCUGAGCCCGCGCCUCGGCGCCCCGGGGGCCGCGCGCGCACCGCCGCCCCCGCCCCGCGCCUCCCAGCGCCGCCCGGUGCCCCGCGCUCCGCGCAGCCGCGCCGUCGUACCGGAAGUUGAGGUCCUUGAAGGAGAACUGUGUCUCGAUGAUGCCGGUGGUCUUGACUCGCGAGCGCAGCACGUCCUGCUCGGUGGGCACGUAGCCCGGGGUCACCAGGCGCUCCAGGUCCGAGAGGUAGCUGCGGAGAGCCGGCGUGUGGGCGCGCGGGCGGCGCGGCGCCCCAGGGCAGGGCCCGCCCGUGCCCGCGCCCCGAGCCGCCCGCGCUCACUAGCCCGCCGAGUCGUUGAGCUGGUACUCGGAGGCGCGCUCGAAGCAGGCCUGGAUACCCGAGUCCUUCCACAGCCGCUGGAUGAUGUCCGACAUCUCCUUGGGCAUCGUGCCUUCCUCGAUGGUGUCUGCCAUGUGCAUCAGCUUGCGGGCGUCGUCCUGCGGGCAGGGCGCGAGGCGUCGGUGGCCACCAGGGCCCCGCCGCGCGCGCCCCGAGCCCCCCACCCCCACCCAAGUCCCGCUCCGCCCGUUCCCAGCGCACCUGGCGCGCAGAGUCUCCGUACUGGAUGUUGAGUGUGGUCAUGGCGCGCACGAUGGCCAAGAUGGACUGUAGCGUAUUGCCAUAGAUGAUGGCGAUGAACUCCAGGCACUCUUCCAGAGAGUACCCGUCCUGGUGGAUAAUCCUGUGGCCAGGGCGAGCAGGGUCAGCGGCCUGUGGGGCCGGCGGUGAGGCGCACGCGCGCCCAUCCCCACCGCGGGACCCCAGGCCGGGCGAGGGCACUCACUUCAUCUGCUUGACGAUGGUGCUCUUCCCGGACUCACCAGCACCUGAAAGGGAGGCCAUGCCUCAGAGCAGCGCCCAGUGUCCCCUGGUCCCGACGCCGAGCGUGGGGUGGACGGGUGGACCUGCCGGCCGACCCCAGUCACCCCUGACCCGCCCCCCCGCCCCGAUACAAAGUCAAGUACCGACGCCCUGGUGGAAGGCCGCAUGUAGAUGUCAGGAAAGUGAGCAAAAGAGGCCUACGAGGGGGACCGGUGACGACCACUGUGCGCGCGGGUCUCCGAGACCUGCCGCCUGUAGUAUGCUGAGACCAAGCUAAUCCUGGAGCGCCACCUUGUGGGCAUCUCUGGUGCUGCCCGCGCGGGAUAAUUUGAGCCGGGUCACCCCCUGUUUUUCUCCACAAGGAAGGUGGGCGGGCUCCAAGAGGCUCAGAGAGAAUUAGCGCCUUUGGGUGGGAGAGAGGACAGAGCUGACAUCCUUUCUGAUCCUGUCCCCGCGAGGGCCUUGGACAUAGUUAAUGGGAUUUCCGGCUUAGCCUCUCUGCCUCCUCUAACCCGGCUUGGUCUCUCCGGAUACCUCCAGCUUGACUGGGUGGAGUCUGCCCCUUUCUCUUAAUGCAGGUCCUUUCCCUUGGUGGUGGUGGUGGGGGAUUGGCAGUGGCCUUGGGGCAGGCCUGGAUCAGUCCCACCUCCCCUCGCUACACUAUCCAUGGAACCAUGGCCUAGGCUUUGUUAACCUUCCACACCCCUCCACCUGCUUUGCCCUGGCACCUGGGGACCAUUUUUGUAAAUCCAGAUGGUCCUGGAGUCACCCUACUCCCUGGGGGAUGGUGGCCUCCUUCCCAAGGGAGCAGCUGGAUGUGGGGCUCCCAGUGAGGCCCCUAGUUCCUGAGCUCUGCCCAGCAGGCCCACCAAACCCAAGGCUGGAGUGUGAGGGCGCAGGCAGGGACCAGAGUGUGCCUUCUGCACACACUGGGUCAGAGUGAACUUGGCACACACCCCUGGGGAGUGGCAACUUCCCGAGGCGGGGCCCUCUGGAGAGGUUCUCCAUGGAUGCCCAGCCUCCGGGAAUGCGUGGCCAGGGUUCCUGCCCUGUGCCCUGCCCUGGCCAGGGUUCCUGCUCUGUGCCCAGGCCACCACCCCACCACUGAUGCCCCGCGGGGCCCUACCCAGCAGCAGCAGCUUCACCGUCCGAGCAUCCUUCUCCGCGUCCUCUUUCAACUUCUUCUCCAGCUCCCUGGAGUGCUUCUCCUCGGCACUGGCCCCGGCCCCCAUGUUCCAACAACAGCUGAGGGCACAGAGUGGGCAGGCAGUUCUUCUGGACGCAGGGGGUCCUAAGAGCCAGGCUCAGGCCAGCCUCUGGCCUCCCCUGCUGCCUUUCUGGUCCUGGGACUGGCAAUCAAAUGGCUCUCUGCAGACUUGUGGGGGCCCUGGGAGGGGGGGCUGCUUAGUGGGAUUUGGGGGCUAGGAGUGCCCAAGAGCCAAUCAGAGACAAGGACAGGUGAAUCCAGCUCAGUCCCCCAACCUUUCUAAUCAGGCUGGCGUGGCCCCAAUCCUCGCACCGCUGACUCUGCACCCCUGUGUCCCCUCCCCAGCCCUCCAGGAAGGAUCCUAGACACGGCCCUGCCUCCACCCCAGAGCAAGGAGACACCUUCAAGAGGGUUGGCGCUCCAAAAGGGAAGCACGGGUCCUCCAGCCCUGGGGGCAGGGAGGCAGAAGCAGGCGUGGGGCACCUACACCUGCCCAGCAGAGGCUCAAAGGGCCACUCAGCAGGUGGUGCGUGUGGAGAGCCAGGUGGCUUGGAGCAGAGCCCUGCAGGGAGUUAGGAGGAGGAAGGGGAGCACUGCACUGCCCCACAGAGGGCAGGACCUCCGCACACGUCCAUGCGUCCGCCGGACUCUGCUGCGUGAGCCUGGCCGCGUGUGGCUCCAAGCAAGGCAACGACAGGACAGGGGUGCAUGUGUGCACGUCCCAUGCCUGUGUGAAGUGCAUGGGCUCUUCCACAUGAGUGUCCUGUGCCUGCCAGUACAUGGAUGUGCAUGUGUGUGGCGGCACCUGUGUGCGUGUCUCUUCAGGUGCAAAGGUAUCCUGUGGGUUCACGCGUGUGGUGCAUGCCUACGCGAAUGCCAAGGAGCCUGUGUGUGCUGUUUACAGGGGCACACAGUGCCUAUGCCUACGCCUGCGUGUGCAUUUGGACACAACAGUCUCAGACCUGCAGAGGUGGCGGGGCCUGUGGUCACACGGGGACACAGAAUCCCGGAGCAGGUCUGGUGCUGCCCUGCUGUCUCCUGUGGGCACUUUGGGUGCCCUGUUGAGCACUUCAGGCUGGACACUCCCCGACAGCCAUCAGGAAACCCCAAUGUAGGCCUCAAGGGCCCCCCCAGAGGCCCUGAGCCCCCUGGCUGGCCUCUCCCUCUGGAAGCUGCCUGCCUGUUGGGACUCAACUGGUGCAGAGACCACGAGGGGGUGCCAGGGCCCCAGACACGGAGCCCUGGGGGCUGUCCCCGAACAGGAAGUGGCUCUUGUGUCCACACCCACCUUGGUGGGUGAGCGGGGAUGUGGCCGGGAAAUGAUUUAAUUUGUGCCAAUUUCAUCCUCAGCUCCAUCCGCACUCCCAGGUCCUGGAAGCCCAACCUGGUUUCCCCCAAAGUGGGGCCACCCUCUGCCCCCCAGUUCCCCCCGUUGCUCCCUGUGCCACUGGGUGUGGCUCCAAGUCCUGCGGCCAGGCUGAGCACUGGGCACAGCCGUCGAAUGCCACUUGGACGCCACAUUCCACAGUGGGCAGGUGCGUGAGUUCUGGUGCCGGCUCUACUUCUGAUCCCAGCUUCCUGCUCAUGUGCACCCUGGGGUAAAAAGUGUGCUAUUUGUCCAGCAUGAGAUGUAUGAGGCCAAAAUAGAUUUUAAAAGAAUAAGAUACGCACACCCCCCACCCAAGAGAGAAGCCGACGUUCAGUCCCAGAGCCAGUGUUUAUUAGCAAGAUGGCACCCAAGGGCGGCUGUGGUCUGGGGAGCAGAGGGCUACCAGGAGCCCCUGCCGGGCCCCCCAGAGCUAUUUACACCCAUCGCCUGCAGUGGUGGGCAGAAAGGAGUGUUGGGGGGCGCCGGCAGGCCCCAGGCCUCCACCACGGCCCCCUCUGCCUCCAGGGCUGCCUACGCCUCACCCCUCUGCUAUUUGCUCAGUCCAGGGGGCACAGCAGCAGCCGAGGAGGCAGAGUGGGGCCACCCUGCCCUGGCCAGGCCGGAGCAGGGAUCACGGUACAGCCCUACCUAGGCAGGGCUCCUCUCCUGUCCCCAAUAAAUAGAGAAUAAAUACCCGGGAAGGGCUGCUUCCACCGAGUGCCCUCAACCCAGGCGGGGACCGGCAUCCGGCGGCAGCCCCGUCUUCCCCUCUCCGAGCACACCUGAGCCCCCACCCCUCACCCCCAGUCUCCAAAGCAGCGCUCCCGUCCAGGUCCAGGCCACGGCACAGGCGUGCAGUCCAUGCCCCCACAAGUGGGGCUCGCUCCCUCCCUGGGUCCUGGAGGUCUUGGGCCGUGGCCGCAGAGCAAGCAGACUUGCAGCUGAGUCUGGGGACUGUGUAGUUCUGGCCUGGCCCUGCCAUCUUGCUGGGCCUGGUGAGGCAGCUCAGUUCUCUGCGGUCUCGACCAGCACAGGUCCGAGUUCUGGAUGCCGCCGCCGAGGCGCACUAUGUACAACCCACCAAUAAAUACUGUCUUUGACGGGG